AGUCUCAAUCUAUCAUGUGAUGAAAGGUGUGGUACCAACUACAGCAAAUAAACUUACAAUUUCCAACAUCCAACCAAAGAGGCUGACUACAAAAUAAAGCUAUUCCUACGAAACUGCAAUUUUUGCAGGUCAAAUUUUCAGCCAGCCACCAGAGGGUGCCCGUAGAGCUCUCUAAAAAUGACCAAAACCUGAAGAAUUAGAGGAGAAAGAAAAUUUCCAGUGCAUGGAAGACCAGGACAAAAUACAGCUUACCCCCACGUGACUUGAACAGAUACACAGGCCAGACAAGGAGCUGUGAGGCUGUCGACAACAAGAACCAGGGUGGGAGUAACCCCAGAUUUUACCUAGAUAUGAGCUAAACAAGUUGCUUCUUGAUUUCACAUUGGCAAUUGCGAUAGUACUUUGAGGACUGGCCCAGAAAGCAUUUUCAUCCCCUGGCAAAACUCUUCCCCAUCAGCUUCCCAACCAUGUGUACAAAGGAAAUGCAAAUACAUGUGAAUAGUAGCCUGAGUCAAAGUCUUCUUGGAAGGUAAGGCUGCUUGCGACUGCUGCUGCUUUGAAAAAGAAAAAUCCUACAAUGCAAGUGAAAGGACAGAUUUUCUGAGCCACUGCUUCUGCACCAGGGUGAGGGUUCAGAAGGACGAAAUACAGGCACCAAGACCUGUACUCGUUGGAGACUAUGAUGGACAACACAACAUGAAUUUCUUGCCCUCAGGUGGUUUACAAUCUAGAGAGGGAGGCAGACAAAUGACCAGAUGACAUCCGAGAGACCAAGCUUUGCCUGCCCUCCUGUGGCCUUGGCUGGGGGAUCCUCCUGUGGCCCAUGGAAGGGGCAUUUCUCUGAACUGAAGGACUCCACCUCUCCUAUGCUAUAACUGGCCAGGGAUGGGCCUGCAGUGGCUGAUCAGAGGUUCAGCCCUUGGUAAUUCAAGCCAAUCCAGUUUCUUGCCUUAAAAUUUGUAAUUGACAUGCUGACAGAUGAAGUUAGUUACAGGUGGUGAGUGAGCUUCAAGUUUAUGGAGACUUGGGACUGAAGCCACUUGAUGAGCCACGUAUUCCCAGAGAGUGUGUAAAAGCAAAAGAAGCAACCAGAAGAGAGGAUGAGAGAGGGGAAGGGGGCAGACUUGGAGAGUCAGCUCCCCUUGAUGGCAACAACUCCCCUUGCUCCUUAUCUUUGUGUCCUGUGAGAUUACCAUUCUUUAAAAUAAAUCCCUCUCUUCCUGCGA